rnacentral:lncRNA from 1 species
UUUUUUUUUUUCAUGUAAAUGGUCCAAAUUGGGCCAAUUUUCUGCGAAAUUACGGUAUACUCUAGAAACAUAGCUACAUGUGAAUACGGUCUAAUUAUGAGGUAUGAUCAAUGAUAAUGAUGUUAUCUUCCUUCUAAUAUUAAGGAUAAACGGGGUGAGAGGGUAUCACUGAGGAAUCAACAUCAACAACAUGAUAGUUUAACCACCACUUUUUAUACAAGUUCCCCCCAGCUAUGUUCUUCUUGUGAAUUAGCUAAACAAUCAACACCAUUUGAUAAUGGCACGAAGAAACGAUGGCACACCCAACUUGAACCACCAUGGACACAAUUGCUCAUUCAAGGUAAAUGGUUAAAGCUAUUACACUUGAAUGAAGAUGAUGCACUGCUAACUACUCUAGAUUAGAAAAGAUUAUAAGCAUAUAUUUGGACGAGAGAUUGGUGCUUGAUGGGCUCUACCUCCACAUGCUUAACAUCAUGGGCGGAGGGGAUGGCGACUAUUGUCCCUAGCUGGUUGUGGAGUGAAAUAGCAUGAGGGUGAAGGGCACACGUUGGCUAGCGAUGGUAGAGGAUCAUUGCGGACACCCGGAGCGCACUAUUAUGUGGAAAUGAAGAAGAUUGGAGAUUUGGUGUGUCUGAUGCGGUGACGCACCCCUUCGACAAUGAAGGAGGUUAAUUGCCACCUUAAGAUAACGUGACAAUUAACACCUCUAAAAAUCUCUAAUUCACUAAGAAAAUUUUUCUAAAAUGUUAUUUAAAUCAAAUAGAUAUAUAACUCUUACAAAUAAUAUAGAAAUCAUAUAAAACUUGAUACUUCUAAAGAUGUUUCUAGAUAAAAGAUUUAUACACAAAAGAUAUUUUCCAUGCUACAUAAAAAUGAUAGUGUAUAUAUUUCAAAAAUGGUUAUAUAAGAGUAUUAGUAACUUUUUUAUAUUUUUGGUAGGAUAAUUAUAUUAUGAUUGAUUAUUAAAUAUUAACAGAACCAACUGAUAAACACUUUUCCAUUGUUGAAGUCUAGAAGUGAGCAUGACAUUUGUUGAGAUGUGUUGUGACAUAUUUGAAGAGAGAGCGGAGUUAGAAAGCACAGAAAUCCUAAAAAUCUCAUGAACUCUGACAACUUGGAAUGUAUAUUGGGAUUGUGUUCUCUUAAGUGUUUAGGAUUGUUAGUUUUUCAAUGGAUUGCUAAGAAAUAUUUAUUUCUAUUUGUUAAAAAUUGUUGAUUGAUCUUGAUGACCAAAACUAGCUUAGACAAAGGAUCUAGAUAGAGUUAAGUGUUGUUAGUUGUUGUUUGAUUGAAAGUCAUUUGUAUAAUGUAGUCAAUCGAUAAAAAAUGAUAUUUUGCAUCCACAUGGUAGUAAUUGAUAGACAUCAUUGUUCAUCUUGUCUGGCAUGAAAAAAAUGAUCCAGUACAAGCUGCAGAUAAGUUUCAUUUCCCACAUAGUACGAUUUAGCAUAUCGUGGUGGUUAGGCAUGGAGCAUCUGGGAAGUUUAAUGCUUGCCAUGAUGAACUAGAUGGUACUUGGAAUAUUUUUCACUUAAAAAACUCAUGACUUUUCUUUGGAACAAAAAGGAAAAAUGAAGUGCUCUAAGUGUUUAAGUUUACAGCUCAAAAAUUUCUCUUGUGCGAUAGGCCAACGCCGCCUUUGCCAGCGAAGCCAUUGUGUUGCGCCUCAAGCUCUCAGUCCCAGGUGGAAGCCAAACUACUGUAAAAUCUAUGAGCAUAAAAGGAGAAAGGAAAAUAUACUCCCUCCAUCCUUUAACAAUUUUAAGGUAGGACAAAGUAUGAAACCAAACCUUGGUUGGCUGGUCACAAAUGUGGCAUGCAAGUAAUAAAGUAUUGUAUUUGAGGUCAAACUUAAUUUUUAACCCGUGAGAACAUGCUUGACUUUAGAGUUCAGAGAAUAAAAUGCAAAGAACAUGCUAGAAUUUAGAGUUCAAAGUCUCGAUAGAACAAAUGGGCAGGCACUUGAAAGUCGGAGGUCACCCUGUACUCUCAUUGCUGAGCAACAUGAAGGGCGGUGAAGAGGCUUCCAGCUACAGCCAUCGUUUUUCGAGGAAAAGUUGAUGAAGGUCUCCUGUCCCUAGCGUAGCAUCAUCCUCAUGUGGGUACGCUGCUACCCACGGUGGCAUGCCAAUAUUUCCGAUAUUUAGAAACAAAAUAUGAAUAUUAUGUAUGAUCUUUUUUAAUGGAGAUCAUCUGCAUUCUCCUGUAUGUUUAUAAUUGUUAAUUUUUUGGUGGAUAUUUAGUUAAUCUUUAUUUCUAUUUGAAAUAAUUAUUGACUUGCUUAGAAAAAAUAUAGUAGAAUGGUAUAUAUUUAGAAACAAACAUAAAUCCAUUUGGAAAAUCUUGUAUUUGCUGCUAAAGUAACGACAUCUGCCUACGGGUGUACACAUUUCCCCUCAUCCUCUCUAGAAACCAUAAUAAUACAAUAAUUAGAGAGCUGUGAUGGAGUUCUACGUGGUUAGCAAUUGUUUUUAUAAUCGAAGGGAAUCAAAGAAAACAACAUUUCUUAAUUUUUCUUUGGGUCAGUCUACACAUGCAGAUUUAGAUGGUUAAAUCUUUGAAAAUCUUGGUCCAUUUGAUCAAGAUCUAGCAUAUCUCCAUCCCCCCAUCUGACACCACUCAAACCCAACGCCUGCCAGCCAUCUCACCGCGGCCAAGUGAUGUCUAGGCUACCCCGCUCUACACUUGCCACCACCGUCGGGUCCAUGACCUCCCCCACCAUCCCUAGCCCCUAACAAGGCCAAAACCUUAUUCCUAAAGUGUCACUGGAAUAGAUGAAGUUCGUGAGAUAUGGAGAAUUUCAAUAUGAAUCUGUUCACAAAACCGUGAGGUAAGAAAUUCGACAGAUUUCCUUAUGAAAUUAGGGUAUAGUUAAAUAGCACAAUUCCGUUUCUUUCCAGGAACAGGAAGUCAUAUGAUCAGCAGGUGAUUGAAAUCUGACUCAGCGUGAUGAAUAUCUGGGAGAUCGCACGCACGAUGCUACUGAUUUCUUCAGAAGGACAAGAAAUCUGUGCGGUUGUUUAAUCUUUACACACACCAUGAUUAGGUGCUGGCGAGUGGCAGCAGCUACCUGGGUCUGUUCAUUUUCUGCUCGUCCUGAUUGGAAUCCUCUCCGGAGUAUGGUACAUUAAUCAGAGAGCUUUGAUUGACUCUAACCUGAGAAAUUGUAUUAUUGGGAACUAAAAUUUCCUACUUCCUAGCUGAUCUCCUCCACUCAUCCGGCACAAGUGGAGCUUGGCAAGGUUCAACAAAAAAAAAAAAAAAAAAGCAGGAGCUGACUACAACGACCUGUCUUUUUGUACUUGACACUCGAGUUUGUUAGGAAUAUAUAUAAUUGCUCUUAUAUGUUGACAUCUUGCCUGCUAUAUGUUGGCUAUGUGAUGGGAGGACGCUAUGUAUUCAAAUGCCACUUGGACUUUUUUAAAUAGAAUCUUACAGGUUUGGUUGCAUUUGCUGCUUAGGUACUCAAAUUUCAAGUCUUUCUUGACCUGCAUUGGUUAUUCUAGUGCGCUGUCUUGACCUGGAUGUAUCCAACUGGCUACAUCUGUAUACAACACUAUAAUGUGCUUACACUAACAGAUUUUUUUCUAAAAGGAUUGGACACAAGAUGCUGGAUACUAAUAUCCAUAAUUUGAAGAUGUCUCUGUCGGUAUGAUUUAUAAGAAUUUUUUCUGCAUCUGCAUCUCUUGCAUGAUAAAGCUUGAAGCUUGCUUGCAUUAUAGGUUUAAGAAGCCUCCUUUUUAGCAUUGUUACGGGGGAAAUGGAUCUACUCAUGGACUGCCACAAAGUCAAUUCUCCUCUAGCGGCAUAAACAACAUCUCCAGUUCCAACUUGUUAGUCUUUGACUGGCGUAGAUACAUGAUUUGGUGUCAGUCUCAUGGUUUACUGCUAAUAAGGAUCACGUCAGCCUUGUGAAAGCAUAUAUCUCUGCAUAUAUCUCAUUUGCAAGAUGGAUCUGUUACUUAUGAUUGUGCUCUUGUACUACUUUAUUACUCGAGAGUUGUAAACAACUCCGUGAUGACUGGUGCGUGCACUCCAGCUGGUUCAUGGACAGAAAGACAUGUGCAUGCUUCAGGUAAACAUCGUCGGCGAUGACGAUGGAUGAACUGGAGUGGAGCCAGCCUCUGAUGAAGAUUUACAUGUCAACUAAAAAUGAACAGGAGAAAACCAGCAAAUCCGUAACCAUAUUUGCAUUGCCAUGACAGAAGUAUUUCCAUGAGGCUCAAAAACUUAAUUGUAUACUGUAUGUACAGUACAGAGAGCACUUCCCAUCAACCAGAUGACAACUAAUAACUCUAAAUGUACAGUUGCUGAUUGCUGUCAAAUUCAUCAAACCACGCGCAAUCGCUCUACCUCUACCUAUAGGAUCGCUGGAAUGAACAACAAUGCUGGCUUCACCGCUGCGACGUCGCCGCGCCGGCCGUCGAGACCUGGAAGACCUCCGGGUUCCAGUCGCCGGCCGCGACGUCGCCGUCGAUGACGAACCCAGCGAACGUGAGGCUGUGCGCGUAGUACUUCUCCACGUUACCGUCCUGCACCACCACCACCUCCACCUCCCCGUCGCCGGUAUGCAAUGGCACCACCCUCCGGUGGCCCUCCGGCUCGCUCCGCCGCCGCGACCCCGACAGAGCCCGGAACAGCCCCGACCACCGCCGGCUCUGGCGCGCGGUCGACAUUGUCCGUAGUGCCGCCGCCGGCGUCAACCGCCCGCUUGAGGCGCUCGGCAACGCGGUCGAAGCGGUCACCGCGCUCAUUGCCCGGCGGAGCCGCCUCGCCUCGUCGAUCUCCCGUCUGAGCCUCUCCGGCAGCCGCAGCGUGUACCGGUCCACCCGCUCCUCCGCCGUCUCCGCUGGCUGCUCGUCGGACGAUGUGGGGCCCCGUUCUGGCGUUGACUCGGACGGCUCGAUGUCGAUGUUGAUAAUCGUGUCGGUGGGCGCUUCUGCCUGGGCUGCGAGGUCAGCGGCCAGGACGUGGCCGGCGUCCGCGACGGCCGGGUCGGAGAGGUCGGCGCGGCAGACGGGGCAGGUGACGUGCGCGGCGAGCCACACGUCGAUGCAGGCGGCGUGGAACACGUGGCAGCACCCGGGGAGGAGGCGGAGCUUCUCGCCGGCGUCGUCGAACUCGGAGAGGCAGACCGCGCACUCGAGCGCCCCGCGGCCGGCCUUGACCGCCCGCGCCGUCGCGUACGUGAGCACGGGGAGCGCCUCCAUCGCCGCGGCGUCGAGCCCCACGGCGGCGCGCCUCCUGCCGCCGCCGACGCUGGCCGCCGACGCGAACGCUGCCGCCGCCGCUGCCGCGACGGCUGCGUUGGCGCUCAGGGCGCGUCGCCGCGCGGCGUCCGUGGCCGUGGCGGCGUCGGAGCAGCGGCGGAGGUAGGCCGAGAAGAAGGCGAGUAGGAAGAGCGCGGCGAUGAGGCUGACGAAGAGGAGCGACGUGGUGAGGCUGAACCUUCCUCCUCCACCGCCGCCGCCUCCAGCGUCGGCGGGCGGCGACGGCGGCGAGAACGCGGCGGAUAAGGUGGCGCCGGGAGGCGGCUGGAGGAGCUGCGACGUGACCGGCCGGAGCAUGGCGAGCACGAGGGCCAGUGGCCGGAGGAAUGUGCCGUGGCGGUGGGGCCACGUGGUAGCCGGCGGCGCGGGCGCCAUGGAAGCUUCGGGAGAGGGGAGGUGGGGCGCGGUGCGGUGGGAAGUGGGGCGGUGUGCGCGUGACGACGGCGAUGUGAUGGAAAAACAAAUGGAGAGGCGGCCAGGCGGGAGGAGAGCUGGAGACGUGCGAGGGGAGAGCCGGAGAGUGACGUGAGGACGAGUAGGGAGGGGUCCCUGGGUCAGAGCUUUCAUUUGAGGCCAACCAUAGAAUAGAGUAUAUAUACGAAGAGGGGUGAGUAUCAAAUCCAUGGUGUGUGUGGGUCUGCGUUUGACAUUGUUAAUGCAGGAGGACGCCAGAGAGCUCAAUGCAGACAUGUGUGGUUAGGCCAAAGUCAAACCCCACAUCCCGGGGUUGGUGAUGAGCCGGCCGCGUGGUAGAUGGGAAAGCUUUUCGCGGGCACCAAACUUUCAUUCUCGCACAUUGUCCUCACAUCAUCAGGCGGCAGAGCAAUGUUUGUGUUAGGGGCUAUUGCGAGAUUUUCCAACACUUUGAUAUUAUUUGAGUAAAUUUCAUGAUCGACCUUUAAAUUAUUGAGCGAUUCUCAUCCAGAUCCUCAUAAUAAAAUUGCCCAGUGAAGCUCGAGCGCGUCCAACCACAUGCGGCCUACUUUAGAGCGCACCCUGCUCGAGCUCGUCACCUCACCCCUCUGCGGCCGCGUCGAAGGCUUCCUCGCUCGAGCGCGCCAGAGGCAAUCGCUCUUGGUGGCGGCUUCUCAUGCGCCUGGCGGGCGCAUGGCAUUGCUGGCGACGUUGCUGGCCUUGGGGAAGGUGGGGCAUGGCUCAGUUGCAGCCUUCGGCAGGCGGAAGUGGCGGCGAGCACAGUCAGCGGAGGCGUUAGGCCAGGGUUUGGCGACAGCUAUUGUGCUUGCCCAUGGGGGGUGGCUUGGGCGCCGACGGUGGCGGCGGGGCGGCGGAUCGGGAUGGUGGGUACCUGGAUGGAGGAAGGGAGCACCGGGGAGGGGUUGCUCUCCGGCAACGAACAGCUGGGCAAGGAGAGGUGCAUGCCGGCAACGCCAUGGAGGGAGGAGGGGGAGGGAGGAGGGGCUGACAUGCGGGUCCCACAUGCUAGGAUCCAUGUUGUUGCACAAUUAGCAUGCCAUCUCAGCUUAUGGGGUGUGGUGUGGUGGCUGGUUUUGGAUCUAGAUGGUCAGCUUAAAUAGUUUACAGAUUCUAAAAUGGAAUUUCAUAGUAUGGAAUUCUAAAUGAGAAUCGCACAAUAGUUUAAGGACCGGCUAUGAAAUUUACUCAUAUUAUUUUUAACCCUUUCAUUUUUAGAUGAGCGGCUCAUAUUAGAACUACUUUGCGCAUGAAUUUCAAAUUUAAAUCGAUGGUACAUGAAAAUUAGAAGUGAACUCAUGAAUAAAUUUAAAACCCAUAGCUAAUCGAAAUUGCUUAUUUUUCUCUGUUUUGGCUUAUUUUGUAGCAUAAUACCCAUACACACACACACACAUACCCUAUAUUUCCCAAUUGCAUUGCACCAUCCUAUUUCUUUAAUAUGUGUUUGAUUGAAACCAUAACUUGAGCUAUUUCAGCUCUUAUGCCAUGACUUGAUUUGGGACUCUAAUUUUGACCUCAUCAGCUGCUGUUUUUAAAAAAACGAUGGAUAUUACCAUUAAUAAUGAUUAGACUUUACCAAGUUGGUUGUAGGAUGUUUCUGAUUUUUGCCACAGCACUGGAAUGAGUAUUUUCUGAGUAAGAUUUUUUUGGGGGGUGCUAUAGUUCCCUCGCGAUGGAUCAUCAGUUCUGCUGAGGGCCUGAGAGUGAGAAGCGGCAGUAGGAGAGUGACCUUGGGCACCACAGCCGCUGUAGCGCCAGGUGUGCCCUGACGCGUACUCAUGCGCGCGGGGCGUCCCCUUUCUGCGAGCGGCACCACAGGGCACCUGGCCUUGGUGGCGCCGUGCCGGUCGACGUCACCUGCAGCUCCACUACUGUGUACCCAUGAUGGGCCGUACGCACGCACACCAGGACCAGGUAACGUCGUCGUCGCGGCUGUCCUGCGCCUCCGCCGUCCCGGCCCGGUGGGUCAUGCCGAUCAUGUGCGUGGAGGCUGCGAGCACGCCACGCGACGCCGCUUUCCGGCCGCCACGCGUCGUGGCGUCGCACCAUGUACGGAGGCGUCAGAUCCAUCGGAGACGCCUGCACGGCUGCACGAGUGGAGCUUGCUUGUGCGCACGGGCCAUGAAGAUUGAGGAGGCAAGCAGGCGAUCGGGCUGGCUCAGCUCUAGGGCAAGUUUUCAGGUCCCAACGAAGUUUGCGGCUGCUCGUGACGUUCAAUGGAUCUUGUUGUAUAGCAAAGUACAACUCGUGUUCAUCAUGUAUGACCUCCGAUCACGUUGUACACUACGACGAGGAGCUUCCCCUGGCAUCCCCCUGUGUGGAUACCGGUGCGUGGGUCGUCGGGUCAGGACAGGACGCGAGCGUCUUGCCGGAGCGACGAGCCGACGAGCUAGUACGUAGCCGGUACGGUGUACUUAACGUGUGUACGUGUCCGGUCCGAAGGCGCGGGCCGGUGGUGUCGUCGUCCGAGGGGCGCGCGUACGAACGGAGUACGUACGUGCCGGAGCGACGACGGAUCGAUCGUCGGAGGCGGGCAGGCAACAAACGUCGUCGUCGUCGUACCGCCCCCUCUCCCCGUACGCGAGAUCUCCCGUCUCCGCAGGAUCGUGCGUGCGCCGUGCAACGCCACUCGUACGCGGUGGUGGUGGCGGCGCGCGGGAUCGGAGACUUUGGUAUGUGGACGCCGAGAACGCGGGCACCGGCUCCGGGGUGAAUCACACCGCGCGCUUGGCGCGUGCCGCGUGCGCCCAGACGACGACGACAUGUAUGGGGAUCGGGACGACAGGGACCGUCGCAAACACUGGCAAGGCUGCCGCCGACCCAAAACUUGCAAAACAUGGUUUGGGCCCAACAAACAGUUUUUGGGCCGUUGCUCCGAGUGCAACCUUAAGUGGCCCAUAUAUCUUCCUCCCUCUUAUACAAAAUCUAGAGCGCGCUCGCUCUCUGGAAAGUCUAGCUAGGCCCCUCCUCUAUGUACUUAACUGCUCGUCGGAACGUGCUACCAGCUUAUUACACGUACGCAUGGGCACGUACGUCCGCACGUGCCGCGCGCUCUGCACAGCUGCGCCACCGAGCUGUACUCGAGGUGAGGUGAGACAGAGGUGAAGCCCGGAGACGGACUGGACGCUUCUAGCCGGCCGGCCACGUACGUGCGCACGUGUAAUAAGCUGAUCCAUCAAUCGGCACGCGUCCUUUUUCUACGCCACCGAUCGACAACGGUUGCAUCGCCACCACCACUUUUCACCGCAGCUACUGGGUAGCCUCGAUCGCUUCCGUCUCCAUCCAUCAAUUGCUGGCUUGCUGCACGACACCAGCAAACUCGGCUCGCGGUACUGUAGCAUCUCUCGAUCGAUCGAUCCAGCCCGCCAUGGGACAAGGCAAGGAGGUGAAGACCCGGCCCGACCCCAAAGUGGAGAUCCAGGUGCGCCAGCCUGCUGUGAGCCUGUGACCUGUAAUUCGGUCUCGUUCCGUUGCGAUUCUUCCGUGACCGGUGGCAUGCAUGGCCGCAGGAGAAAGGCGAAAUCUUCUUCUUCUACAGGCCCAAGGUGGGCAAGGACGAGGCGCGCGGCCCCGACGACGUCCAGCGCAUGUACAUCGUCCUGCGCCCGGAGUCCGGCGACCGCGCCGUCGAGGAGAAGCAGGCGCCCGACUCCGGCAAGGAGGGCCGCAAGCACCACCACCAGGACGACGGCGACCGAGGAGGAUCCGGAGGAGGGGCGAGCAAGAAGGAAGGCCACGAAGGCGGCCAUGGCAAGGAGGUAUGUAAACGGCUAGAACACGCCAUGACGAUUUAGUUUCUGCGGCACGUGGUUGCAUUGCAUCUCGAUUGGUCGCGCAGGAGGUUAACAUCGAGGAGCAGCCGCUGCUCCGGCUGGUGGUCAUGGGGAGGAAGAGCCUGCCGGACCCGGCCAAGCACAGCCUCCCGUACUGGGGGUACGUCGAGCUCGUCACCACCAAGGUCCAGGACAUCAAGGACGCGCUCAAGGAAGGUAUGAAAUACUGUGCUUGUAUAAGAGUGUAAGACGGUGUCAAAUGACAGAAAAAUCUGAAGCUUUUACUCUGCUCGGUUGUGGCAUGCAGAGGAGUACAGCACGGCGACGCGGGGCCAGCGCCGCAGGCCGGCAGCGCGUGCGCUGGGCGAGGGCGUGUACCGUAUCCUGAGGCACGAGCCGGGCGGGCGGCGCUCCCCGCACACCCACCUCGUGUACAAGCUGGAGCUCCCGACCCGCGGCGACGGGGAGCCGCAGGAGGCGAUGAACGUGGAGCCGGAGGCGUCGUUCCUCGUGCAGGUGAAGAACCCCGACCCGCCCUCCGGCGGCCGCGGCGGCGGGUUCCGCGGGCUGCAGAGCAAGCGCCGCGCGGCGUUCCCGGCGCACCUGCAGGGCGCGUUCGGGAGCCGGCGGUUCGCGCCGGCGGACCCGCCGGACCUGCUCAACUACGAGGGGUGCGAGCUGCUGCUCAUCGCGGCGUCGGACGAUGUCGAGGAGGAGCUCGGGCUGGAGCUGGAGGGGGAGGCGGAGGGAGAGGAGGGGGAGGGUAGCCAGGGGGAGGAGCAGCGGGCGGCCGGGUGCUCGGACCUGGUUAAGAUGUUCGGCGAGGUGGCCGACGUGAAGCCGCUGCUGAGCGGGAGCUGGGACUAGGCCGGCCACGCGACCACUGACGUGGUGUCAUUGUGCGCGUGCGCUCGUUCCAGCCUUUUGUCUUUGAUCAAUGGAGAUGGCGCUUUUGUUGCUCUCCAUAGUUAGGAAGGAGGUCGUUGUCGUAGGAAGGUGUUUAAUGAGCUUGCUGCAGUUUUAGUUGUUUGGAUGUACUAACUGCUUACUGCUAUUUAGCAUGGCAGUGUAAAGUUGGGUUCAAGCUUAAAGUUGGAACCGAAUUACCGUGUUUCGAGUGGUUAUGACCACAACUACAUGAGAGAUGCAUUAUCCCGUAGUGAUCAAGCCCGUUGAAAUUGAAACAACGCCGCUAGUGUGAAUGUGAACUUCGCUGAAGUCUCCAAUAUGGAACCGACGUCGGCCGCCACCAAUGUAAGCCGGCCGGAAAUGUUAAGGGCUGUUCUAGCCGUGUGGAGGGUUUCUUCCUCUUUCAAAACAGUUUCCAAAAGGGUUUCGGCUCCGGUCGCCAAAUGCACCGUCAUCAUCUUGACCGCUCCUGUACCAACAAAUGCACCGUCAUCAUCUUGAUACCAACAAAUGCACCGUCAUCAUCUUGACCGCUCCUGUACUGAUGACCGCUCCUGUACCAACAAAUGCACCGUCAUCAUCUUGACCGCUCCUGUACAACUCGUCACUGCUCGUCCCCGCUUCUCCACAACUCGUCACUGCUCGUCCCCGCUUCUCCACAACUCGUCACUGCUCGUCCCCGCUUCUCCACAACUCGUGUCAUCAUCUUGACCGCUUCUGUACUAACAAAUGCACCGUCAUCAUCUUGACUGCUCCUGUACAACUCGUCACUGCUCGUCCCCGCUUCUCCACAACUCGUCACUCGUCACUGCUCGUCCCCGCUUCUCCACAACUCGUCACUGCUCACUUCACCUCUCCACAACUCGUCGUCACUGCUCGUCCCCGCCUCUCCACAACUCGUAGUGGCUCACUUCGCCUCUCCACAACUCGUCAUCACUGCUCGUCCCCGCCUCUCCACAACUCGUCACUGCUCACUUCGCCUCUCCACAACUCGUCGUCACUGCUCGUCCCCGCCUCUCCACAACUCGUCACUGCUCACUUCGCCUCUCCACAACUCGUCACUGCUCACUUCGCCUCUCCACAACUCAUCACACUGUUCGUCCCCACCUCUCCACAGUCCAAUGUACCAACUCGUCACUGCUCGUUCCCACCUCUCCACAGUCCAAUCCGACUCCGGUCGCGGUCACCAUCUUGACCGCUCCUGUUACAACUCGUCGCUGCUCGUCCCCGCCUCUCCACAGUCCAAUCGGCUGUCCACCACCACCCCAGCCCCCGCCCCUCCACAGCCCAAUCGGCUGUCCACCACCACUCUGGCGCCGCCGCCGCCCACCUCACCGCUAUCUCAACCGCCACCACCGCUUGCUACCCUGCCCACCUCAACCGCUCCCACAUGAACUCGUCGUUGUUCGUCCCCAUCCCUCCACAGCCCAAUCGGCUGUCUACCAUCACCUCGUCAGGCGGUGCCACCACCGUCCCACCUUGCCGCUAUCUCGACCGCCACCACCGCCCGCUACCAUGUCAUCCUUGUUUUGCGGAGAGGAGACUGCCACCUCCCGCUACCCUAUCAUCCUUGUUUCGCGGAGAGGAAACGCUCCCCUGAGGAGCUAGGCUCCCACAUCAACUCGUCGUUGUUCGUCUCCAUCCCUCCACAGUCCAAUCGGCUGUCCACCAUCACCCCGGCAGACGGUGCCACCACCACCCUACCUUGCCGCUGUCUCGAUCGCCACCACCACCCGCUACCCUGUCAUCCCUGUUUUGCGGAGAGGAGACCGCCACCAGUACCUGCUACCCUAUCAUCCCUGUUUUGCGGAGAGGAAACGCUCCCCCGAGGAGCUUUCUAGAAAGCUGCGGGUCGUAUGUAGUAGGAAUUUGCACAAGGUGUGCUAGUAUAAAUUCGCAUACUAAGUAUAGUAAACGUGCAAGAACACAUACGGGAAAUAUCUUUUUAUUCAUCAUUGUAAGUUUACAGAGUACAAUUUCCUGCAGUAUAUAAUAAAUUGUGCCGAGCAGCAGAGAAUCGUGUGGCUUGUGGGUUCCGGGGCCUCGUGAGGCCUCCGGUUAAUUAUAUCUGCAGCAUUGGGUUGCAGAACAUCUCUGAUUAAGCUAUGCCAAUAGUCGUCAUCUCUAAGUAGAAUAAAGUCAUCUCCGAGUAUGCAUAAGCACAAAGAAUAAAUGUGGUGAAGUGCUAGGGCCCCGUCGGCCUCUAGCGAAAGGUAUCCGGCCUCGUCGUGCGGAUCCCAUAAUGAAGUCAAAGUGUUCGGUCUCGUCGGUCGCGAACAAAGUAAUUCCGGCCUCGUCGGUCACGGAAAAGGAAACAUCCUAGCCUCGUCGGUCAGGGAAAAGAGGACUUCACAUGGUUCACCGGUCUUGAUGGUGCGGAACGUGGUUGUUAUGGUGAGUCGUAGACUUGUGCUCAGACUGUACUCAGGAGGUUUCUCCUCAUGUAAACUGCUGAGAUCAUCGGCGGGACACUUAGUCGUAUGCCGGCUCAUACUCUUUGAUGGCAUGCACUUAUGCACUUGUGCUAGCUUUGACCAUACUGUGGGACUUAGAAUAAUUUUACUUGUGUGGUAGCGAUCAACUGGACUGCAGCCGUCAUGGGCCACUUAAUGGGCCGCAUUGAACUGUCAAGGCCAAAUUGGUGCUUGCGUGGCCUAUAGCUGCUGGCUGCUGGUGCUUAUGCACAUUUGCUGGUGCGUAUGUUUACAUGUUUCUUCAUUGUUACACAUGCAUGGAAGUUUGAGGGCGCACAGGGUUGCCGGGGCUCAUCUGUUGUUGCCGGGCCGCUGCCUGGAACGGCCUGUUCGUCGUGGACUGCCACAUGCGUCAUCGCGAUCGAGAAUAAUCACCGGCCGCCGCGCUCGCCGGAGUUGUGCCGGGCUCCUUUACUGCCGUGCCGCUGAGAACGACGUGCUUGUUAUGGCUGCCGCACAUAUCACUGGAAUGGAGUUGUCACCGGCCAUCAUGCUCGCCGCCGAGAAUGACAUGCACGUCACCGGAGAUCUCGCCGGAGUAACACUCGCCGGGCCGCCGCUCGCGGCCGCAGAAAACCAAGUGCUCUUCACAGGUCUGCUGCCCGUUGAGGCGCUGCGUUCUAGUGAACAAAAGUCGUUGCCAGGCGCCGUCGUAUGGAUCGCCGUCGAGGGCGUUUCUCUUGCCGGGCUGCCGUGGCCACAUACAUCAAUGAAAAGGGGGGCGGCCGGCGAGUUCGCCGUCGAGCCGCCGCUAGCUGCAUGACACAUCUUGCAGCACAGGUAUUGUUGCCGGUCGCCGAUCCAGCGAGAUGGCCAGAGACGCGGCCACUCAGGCGCUGGUGUACUCCGCCGCCAUCGACCGUGUGCAGAGAUCGUGAGCCACGCCUGUAACACAUGCUAUGCAACUCGAUUAAACAGAGAUCAUUGAAUUAUAUAAAGACUUCACCUUCGACGUGGGCGGCCAUGGUGGUGUCGAUGUUGCAGUGAGCGGCGACGGUGCCGGGCGGGCUGCUACAAGGAACUGCCCGCGGAUCUCCGGCCGCACUUACCAGAUCACGGCGCCCUCCGGCUGGUGGUGUAGUGUGCUGUGUGUGGAGAAGAGAGUGGAAUGGAGUGGCGGCGUGCGGAUGCAGCAGGGCGGCGGCGUGGUGAAGAAUGGAUGUCCGGCGGCGUGCAGAAGCAGCAGGGCACCGGCGUGGUGAAGAAUGAAUGUCUCUAUGAUGAGAGGGCGAGGGCCUCCUUUUAUAGGCAGGAGGUAUGGUUGCCAGCUGAUGGAGUAAUGGGGCGCCGAGCGCCGCCGCGCUGCCGUUGCAGGGCGAGCGCUUCUCGCGGAUGGCUCCGUGGAUGAAGGACGACCGCGGCGCUGCCAACUUCAAAUUUGAAUUGCAAGUUUUAUCCUCUCGGUACUCUGGCACCUUCCGAGCCCUUUCAAAUGAGACGACUCUUGCAGCUAGUUAACUUAAAUCAGCCCACAACUCUUGCAGCUAGUUAACUUAAAUCAUCAUAGGGCUCAUUGCCGAGUCACCGCCGCUGGGCUUAUCUCUGCAUUCGUUCUGACCAACUGAUCACAACGGGGACCCCAUCCAUGUAACUCAAGUUCAACCAAGCCCAAAAUAUGCAUCAUAAUGUCAUGCUAUUUCAAACUUCUCCAUUAAUUCUGAAUAGACUAUACAAUAUCAUGGCGGUCAAAAUCUCAUCAUACAAUCCCGAAGCUUCCUCUAGGUCUUCCGAAGAUAGUUACAACCCUUUCUCUUUCCUACGUGGCUCUCUUGUAGAGAACUUCUCGACCCCAUUGUGGGUGCUCUAAUGGAAAUGAAAAAUGUUUGUACACUUAUUUCAUAUUGCGGUUUCCAAGAAUGACAUGUCGUCGAAAAAUGUUUGAGUAGAUGAAUAAAACAAGAUCUUCCAAUGGAGAGUUUCAUUUCACAGUUUCAUAGGAUGGACAUACCAGUUAAUUGUGAAGCAUGUCAUUGGGCGUGAUGAAAUGAAAUAAAACUCUCUAGUCCCCAAUGCUAGUUUCAUCAGAUUUCAUAGUCUUGGAAACAAUGUAUGCAGAGCUUCAUCUUAAGACUAUCCCAGUGCAAGGUUUCAUCGCACUGUUUCCAAGGAUGCCACAUCAUCCCAUGAGGUGUAUUCUCAUGAAUGAAACAGAGAGUCCCAGUGCAUAGUUUCAUUUCACGAUUUCAUAGAAUGACCAUGAGAUUUAAUUGUGAGGCAUGUGAUUGGAUAUGGUUAGAUGAAAUGAAACUCUAUAGCCCCCAAUGCAAGUUUUAUAGUCUUGGAAACAGUGUAUACACAGUUUCAUCCUGAUGAAACUCCUUCCCUCUCUCACUUCAUAACUAUCAUGCCAUGUCAUCACAUAUGCUGAUGUGUCACUGUAUUUAAUGUGCAUGAAACCUCUAUGAAACCCCCACUGGGAUUAGCCUAAUGAAAUUCUUUCCCUCUCUCUUCUCAUAAUUAGCAUACCAUGUCAUCAAAAUUGCUGAUGUGUCGUAUCAUUAAAUGAGAAUGAAACUCUUACGCUACCCCACGAUAGCCUAAGAACAACCUAAAAGCUCCUGCACCACGGAGGGCUGUCUAGUGACGUCGAAUUUUCAAUUAUGAAUGCUCACCAAGAAUAUAGUACGCGCAAAAUAAGGAGCAAAAACCGGGCCAACGUCCAAAUGGAGUAUUAACUAAACUAAUGCAUGCUGUCUCACAUUAAAAUAAUCUAUCCAAAUUCCAUACAUUUUUUAAUAUUUAAGUUAACCCUUUCUUCAUUGCAAAUAUACUUUUGUGGACAUCCUCGCCAAUUAUCUCACUCAUAAGCAUAUUCAUGUUUGCAUAUUUGGUGACGGCAAAUGUUAUUAGAAAUCGCCACAGAUGAGAGUUUGAAGACGCUACUAGUAAAGUGCUAUGUUGGAUGUAACACCAGCUAUGGUCAUGGGUAGUAUAGACACCAAAAUACAGCAAUCUCAAUAGUGAACAACAAUGAAACAAAACAGAAAUAAACCUUACACUCUUGAAAACAAUGAAGAGUAUAUAUAUCGCCGAAGCAGACACUUUACGCUCCCCUGGCAACGACGACGAACCAUAUAAUAUUUUCAAUAUAUAGUAGAUAAUAUAUCCCCUUUUCACAAUGUUUGCGCUUAACCAACCCACAAAGAUCAGAGGCUCUGAAUCUAAGAAAAUCUGAUAUUGUAAAAUGGAUGGAGUAUUAAUUGAUGAACUAUUCACCCCAAAAAUAUGUGCAUACAACAAUGUCGCAGUAUGCACAAUAAGAUCAUGAUGAACAGUGACACAUGAUAUUGGUGCAUAAAUAAAUAUAUUUUAAUGCAUAUUGACCUCCAAACUUGCAGAAUUGGGAAUGCAUUCAAAUCCAUGACCACAUGCUAAGUUUCAUAUACAUCCAUGUUUUCCCAAUGCAUCACAGUGUGCAUGUAGUUUAUUUCCUGUGUUGCUGUUGUGAUAAUGCAGAGCUGACACGGCCAAUGAUCUCCUCCGCUGUGACAAUGAAUGUCGCCUCCACCUGGAAUUAACCAACAGUCAGUCCAUCCUUUUCCCUAAAAAAAUGUUGACCUGAAACAAGGGCAAAACAAAUAGAGAAUAGUACAUAUGAUGUGAAAAGAUUAAUUAAGAGCCCACAGGUCUGAGAUGUCCUAUGAAUUCUUGGAGAUAGAAAUACCCAGCUCUAAGAAUUCUUGGAGCUGGAAAGCACUCUUAGUCAUGAUAUCUCAUCGGUGUGAUAGUCCUUGUUUCAUGUCGUACCAGUUUCAGUGUUUAUAAGAAUGUAUAGAUCAAUACAAGGAGUUCAAGACUUCGAAACAAGUCCUACUAUAUACAACAACUCAUAUUUUCUCUCUUCCAACCUCAAAAGCACACAUAUAAUUCAUUUAACUGCUAAGUGAGCAUUUGCCAUUUGGAGUAGCACUUCUUGACAAAAUAAAAAUAUAAUGAAUAUGCUCUUACUUUUUCUUUAAAUUGAAUUCCGAAACAUGGAAUAUGUAUAAGCGAAAUGGGUGAAUAAUAGCACUAACAACUAAUUUGCAUUAUCCUGACGACUUGACCAUUAUCUUCGACUGAUUGUUUGCGAUUUCUAAUCAGCAUAGCUUUUUUUUUUAAUUAUUCAGUCCAUGAAGAAAAAAAGGGCCCAUCAGAAUAAAGUUCUUAAGAAAUGCAUCAUAGUACAACUAUGAUGGUACAUCCAAAUAGUAAGCACACACUAAAAUUCCAAAAAGACCGCCAGCUAGUCAAAUUGGAGAGAGAGAAACAAAGAAAGACCUACCUUUGCCGUGAUGGUUAUGUUUAGAGCGCAAGCCGGGAACGGAAUGACACUGGCAUCAACGAUGCUGAGGUGGAGAUCCUCGACCUCCGCGAGCACCCUCGCAACCACCCCCUUGCCGUUCUCGCAGAGGACCCGGACCAUGACAUUGUUCCCGGAGAGCUGCACGUCGAUCUCUGGCAGCGGUUUCCUCACAGCCGCCGGCGCCCACAACGGCGCCCCCUCGUCGUCUGGCGGGGCAUAGCAUUGCCUCUUAACCAGAACCACAGUCCCGGAGCUCCUGAUGACCACGCCGCCGGCGUCCCGGGCGUUCAGCUUUUCUCGGAGCUCCUUCACGUACCUCGUCGCGUCGGAGAGGAUCGUCGCCUUGUCCAUCUGAGAUCACAAUCACAACACAAGUUAAUUAGCCUUCAAUUACUGUGAAACUGCAACCUCUGUCAGGGACUCAAGAUCGGACCUUCUUGAGGCCGGGGAUGACGGCGGAGAGCUCGACGAAGCGCUGGUUGAUUUUCUCCCUCCGCUUCCGCUCCGCGAUGAUGUGGUCGUGUGCGUACGGCGCCGACGACGUAGGCGUGGAUCCCGUGCUCUUGAGGCCGGCUCUCCUUAUCAGCGGCAUCGGGGAUCCGUAUGCCGCCAGCUCCGGCAAGCCUCGUUUGGUAGUGAAAAUGGGUGUCUCCGGCGUGCCGUCGCUGGCAAGCUCUGCCGAGACGGCGCUGAAGUUCCAGUUCACGGGAAGGUUGUUGGUGCCACUGCCACUACUGCCGCCGGUCGGGGCGGCGUGCCAGGCAGAGUUUGUCAAGACAUGGCCGCCGCGGGUGGUGGUGUCGCGGGAGCUCCAGCCUGUUGCUGCUGCGUGUGCGUGGGCUGCCGUGAUCAGCGACUCCUGGACCGUCUCAGCUGCAUAAGAGGCUUCGGGAAGCGGUUGGAGCGACGGGGAGGUUGCCUCGUCGACGACGGCGGGCGCCGGGUGCUCGUGCUGCAGCGUGUUCAUCGCCCACUGCAUGAACAGGAUCGAGUCCUCCAUGUAUUUCGUGGUGUUCAAAGAUGUAUAGGGGGGAUCUCUCCUUUUAUAGUGAGCGCCACCGCGCACUGCUGCUCCUGUACUGUCGAUCUCUGUCAUGUUUAGCCACCUGAUCGAGGACCCUCCAUAUCCAAAAGCUACGAAAAAGAAUACAAAUACCCUUGGAUUCUGGUUAUGUGGCCAAAAUCCAGUGAUAAUGAUGUUUUGUACCUCCACAUAAAGGUGAUAAAUGAGGUAAUAUAAAAUACAACGUACAAUAUAAUUCAGGAUUUGCUGAUUUGCCGUCCCAUCCGAAUCAAGAUCAGGUGAGCUCUAUAUGUUUGGACAGGCUAUAGCUAGGCCAUACAUAGAUCGAUCAGUAAUACCUACUACUCUUUUUGUGUAACUCCAAUCAUGCUGCCAAUCAACCUGCGUAGAUCAUAAUCGAACUCUGACUGAAAAAAAACACACAACAGGUCAGUUCAUUAAAAGUAGAAAAGCAUGCUGAAUAGAUUACAACAGAGUAAGCUCCGUGGGUGCACUGGAGAUACCGGAUACGAGGACCGGACUUGUAUCUACAUCAAUGGCUAGUUUGAAUAGUGAUGUUAGUAUGCCUAUACAGUAAGCUCCAAUGGUCGUUUUUUAACUGCACUCGAGCAUCCAGUGCGUGUAAAAAUCGCCAGAAUUACCGUAUAGGCGUAUACAUACCCCACCUCAUUCAUUUGAGCUCUCUUACCAUUUGGUGGUUUCAUUUCACUCUGGAUAAUUAACAUGGCAGUUUUGGAAAUGAAACUUGCUACAAAAAUGAUAAAGAUAAUUAAAACUGCCUUUCCGUGUAAAGCGAUGGCUGUUUUGUCUGCAGCUAAAAGUUUACUCCCUUGAAUUAAGCAGCAUUGCCAGCUAGCUGAUGGACGCCUCCAAUAUCUCUUCCAGUGGUUGGGUGUGCCCGUAUUUUUUAUGGUUGCGACGAACACCUGAAGAUGUCGAAACUGUUUGCUCUGACGCAUACAUAGCACACUAUGCAGAAUGCGGCUGUCAUGGGCUUCUCGCUUUUACGUGUAGGGGAUGGUGCAAUUGUCACCAUCUCCAUAUCUAAUUGAGAUCCUAUCGAAUUGUCACCAUCUCCAUAUCUAAUUGUGCUGACUUUCUGAAUUCAAGAUCUAUCAGUCCACUUUCUUGGAGGUGUUCGUGGGGUAAAGUCUGUGUGCUUGCGUGUUCUCGUAAUGGCAAGGGGACAUGUAUAUAUCAAUUAAAAAGCACGCACAUGUGUACUAUGUUUUGGAAUGAAAAAAAGGGUAUGCCACAUACAUACAUGAUUUUAUAAAAAAAAUAUCAGCUCAAAUGCAUGAGAAAUGCUCUGAUACUUCACCAAGCACAUAUAAUUGGUAAAUUGAGGCGUACAUGUAUGGAGAAAGCACACUAGAUCAGGGUUCGGGAUUACGGUCGAAAUUUGCCAAUAAUUACAGUGAUCAAUCAUGGGGUCGCGCUGGUAGCGCAAUUGGGGAUGGAUCUCUGAGUCUCUGACAUCGGUGGCCUGAACUCCCGCUCAGGCUAUUGCAAUUGGAAAUGGUUGCAUCAGCAUUCAGCUAUGCUGCAUGAGCGAACUUCUAGUCUGAAUAUGGAUAUGCUACAGCCUGCAUGAGCUUAAGAUAAUAAAUUGGGCCAAUUAUUUCACCUAAGAGCAUAGUCGUCACUGCCACACUGGUACUACUAUAGAGUAGUUCUCCGUAGAUUCUCAAUGCAUGGCUUCAAUCAGAAACCCGAAAUUAAGCUCCAACUCCAACGCGUGAUCAAUAUAUGGCGACGGUGAGCAAGCCAAAUUUGAUUUCCUUGGCACUGCGUUCAUGGGAAGCGGUGGCGCCGGCCGGCAGCGUUACGGCAGACUCUCGCUGCACGCGGCAUUUGGACGAACACCUUCCGCCCGCUCUACUGUAAGCCGGAGCUGGCGCAGGCGGACAGGCCGGCCGUGCCUUUUCCACCGUCACGCCGCGGGAACGGCGUCUCCGCUAGUGCUCCUCGUGCUCUGCUACUCCGGCCAGCGGCCAGAACUUGCGCCGGGCUAGCCGUGUGCUAGCUACGUUGCACACGUCGCCAAUGUCCCGCCUCUCGACAGCGCGUAAGUGUCCCGUGCAGCAGAGAUCGAGGAGUACCGGGUAAAGGAGUGGGGCCGGCGGAGCUCCGACGAGCAAAGCGAUUGUAGACGGCUGUCGAGAGCGAGGAAGGGACUCUUGCGAUUCGGUCAUCGUGGACCGCAGAAGCUCGAUCUGACGACCAGUAGGCACCCAAGGGUAGACGGUAUUUGAAAUACCGUCCACCCGGUCAGUUUCUGAAACACCGUCCGUCCCCUGGGUCGGCAGGACGCUGUCUCCGCCGCACGCCGUGGUUCGCCCGGCCGCCGGCGAGUGCCGAUGGCGCUCGAUCCGGACUUCCAUUGAAGCUAGAGGUGCGCAACGAUGGCGGCGGCCUGCCCUCGCUCCCGGACGACGCGCUGCGCGAGAUCCUUAUCUGCGCCUGCCGGCCCGGCUGCUCUGCCGCGCCCGCCCCGUGUGCGAGAACUGGCGGCUGGUGGCGACCGCCGCUACGAGCCUGCGACCUCCGCCUUGUGUUAUUACUACUCCCGCGGCGAACCACUUCGUAUUGAAAUCUAAAUGGUUAUUUCUAUCUUCCGGUAGCUAACCAAGGUCAUAUUUGUUUGAGCUUUAGCUUUCCAAACUUUCCAGAAAGCUAGCUUUUGGCUUUUGCUCCUUAGAAAGGUGGCUUUUCGAAAGCUGCCUUUUGGAAAGCUAACACCGUUUGGCAACCUAGCUUUUGAAAUGGUGGGAUGGAGUGUUUCUAAAUUUUAUAGGAUCACCAAGGGACCUAAUCGCAAAACGCUCGGUGACGUCUAAUGGCCAUGGCGGUCAGGCGGCAUUGGGCGAUUAAAUUGUCGGCGAUUAGGGGGCUACAGGUUCCGACAGGUGGUGCAUCAGGAGAGGAGUAACAGGGGAUCUUGUGGAAGUGCUCACCGAGGUGGGAGACUCACAUAGAUGGCUGGAAUCGGUGGCAUGCGGUGAAGACAGCGGCCGGCUCAAACUUCAUGCGGCGGGGCUCCUCCAGUGGCGAAUCGAUGGCGUCGACUGGCGGAGCAGGUGCAGCUCGGCUUCAAGAAGCUUGCAAAGUCUUCUUCUGGCUCAGACGGGCGGCGGUCGCAGUGAAUUGGCCAAGCGAGCUCCGGCGGCGCUUGGCUCUGAUCCGGCGCGGUCCUUCAUGGAUGGCUGCACUCCAGCGAUGGAGAGACGUCAAGGACCAACUGUGGGGCUUCAGCUUGGUGCGGAGAUCGUCGUGGUGAUGGCCGUUUGCUCGUAGGAAGAGGGGUGCGCGCCGGUCAUGGCUCGGGCGCCAGAGGAGAGGGAGACGGCGCAGAUGGAGAUGGAGCUGAGGAAAGAAAAAUGAUUGGUUCGCAAUAUAAACGAUGGCAGGUGGGUAAUUUUCACGAUGAAAACUGUGGAAAGCUCACAUUUCACUGCUUCUAGGCUUUCCACGUAAUCAUAGUUUCUGUGGGGUUUUAGUUUUCGAAAAGUUCAGAAGGUGACCGUUUGUUUGAGAGUUCAGCUUCUUAGGGUGGAAAACUGCUGACACGGCGAAGUUGCAUACCAUUGUCAGCCGCCUCAGGCUCCAGAGCUCCGCGACCGUCCACGGCAACCUGCACUGGCGGUGUCCGGGAUUCACAGGCCGCGGUCACCGGUCAGGCGAAGUUUCUGGUUUUCGGCCUUGCCCUGCCCCGGCUGCACGGGGCCGGAGCGAUCGUGCUGCAAUUGUUAACUUCUCCCAGGGUGGGUGUCCAUCUCUGCAAGCAAAAAGAAGUUCCCGAAUCAGACACGUUGAUUACGAAACAACCAACAAAAGAGCAAGCCGAAAAUGGAACGGAUUCCAUCAAAGAGAGAAAGAGCAAGUCGACAACUGAACGGAUUCCAUCUUGGGACGAAGCAACGAUAAAACCUGGCUUUUGCAGCGGGAACAACAGAAACACUUCCCUGUCAAGGAUCGAACCAAUGGAGGAUGUUAGCGUGGGCACCAACGGCGGUGGUGUGCCCGCGCUCCCGGACGACGUGCACCGCGAGAUCUUCUUCCGCCUGCCGGCCCGGUGCCUCUGCCGUGCCCGCGCCGUGUGCAGGUCCUGGCGCGACCUCGCCUCGGAGCCCAGCUUCCUCCGCGCCCACGCCGCCCGCACGGCCGCCUCGCCCUUCCUCCUCACCUGGUCGGACACGGUCACCAAACGAGACAACACGAGGGACUGCACCGUCCACCUCCGCAUCCACCAGGAUCAGGACGACCGAGGCCGUCGCACCGGAGACCGCCCUUCCGCUGCCGCCGGUGACGACGACGGCGACCAUGGCCACCGAUCCCGCUGCUGCGACCUCCGCCUCGUCCUCACCGCCCGUUACCCGAGCAUCUCCGGCGCGAUGAGAUCGUGGGACGGGAUCCUGUGCGUGGAAAUGUGGGUGAGGCCGCAGCCGCCGCCGUUCGUCGCAGAGCAUGUCCCCUGCUCGUACCUGCUCCUCAACCCGAUCUCCAGGGCAUGCACUGUCGCCUCCGCCCCUACACUGCGUGUCGGUGAGCCCGGCGGCCGUCUCGACCGGGGCUACAUCGCCGGCGCCUACUCGCACCCCGUCACGGGCGUCUUCCACCUCCUGCACUCGUCGUCGUCGGGGAGCGCCGUGGCCGGCUGCGGCGGCGAGCAGCAGACGACGCCUCGCUUCCGGCUUCAAACGGUUGACUCCCCCGACGCGACCUGGCGUGAGGUCCCGAUGUCCGGCGACGCCGGCACGGCCAUGCUGCAGACCGUCGUCGGCCGCCUCAGGCUCCAGAGCUCCGUGACCGUGCACGGUCGCCUGCACUGGCGAGUGGCGCGGUCACAGACACGGCCUCGCCAUGACAAGGAGGAGCUGCUGGUUUUCCACGCCGCCGACGAGGAGUUCGGCCGCAUGGCCCUGCCGCGGCUGCACGAGGCCGGGGCUGUCAAGCAGCAGGCCAUCAGCACGCUGGCGGGCAAGCUGUGCCUCCUCGCCGGCCUAGCGUCGUCGUCGACGGCGGUGGAGGUGUGGGUGGUGGAGGACUACGACGCCCAGGAUUGGCGGCUGAGGCACGUGAUCCAUGCGAACCGGCCGUCGCCGCUCCAUAUUGUCCAUGUCUUGGACAGCGCGCUUGGGAACGUCGGGCUGUUGGUGGGGGGCGUCAGGGGUGAUGAAGUGGAGGAGAUUCUAUUCUACAACUGUUUGCAGAAGGCUUACAAUGUCCGGCCUGGGUCAUCGUCUACGUCCGUCAGGCAAUGUCAGGGGCUAGCAGUUCACGAGCAGAGCCUCCUGCCGCACAACGUCAUCUUUGGAACAAUGCCACGGGUUCAGGGCAUCGCCUUCUUAGAUUGUCCCAACAAUGGGGGCAAGCAGGUGCAGCUAUAACGUCAUCAUGAUUCACAAGUGUGUUCUCGAUCGUUUCCUCUUAGGCUCUUACCCAGCUUCUGAAACACCCGGGCGAGAUUUAGGGGUGUUUGGUUGGUCACAUCGCAUAUUUAGAUACUAAUUAGAAGUAUUAAAUGUAGGUUAAUUACAAAACCAAUUGUAUAAAUGAAGGUUAAUUCGUGAGACGAAUCUAUUAAGCCUAAUUAAUCCAUGAUUAGCACAUAUUUAUUGUAGCAUCACAUGGUCAAAUCAUGAAUUAAUUAGGUCUAAUAAAUUCAUCAAGCGAAUUAGACUUCAUUUAUGCAAUUGGUUUUGUAAUUAGUAUCUAAAUAUUUGAUGUGUCAUGGACUAAACUUUAGUCCCUCAAACCAAACAACCCGCUAGCAAUCCCUUUUCAAUGUGACGAGAAGAUUGAGAAAGAGAAGAAGAAGGGGAUUACUACCUGAGACCCAGCAGCUGAUAAAGCUGAACAUGGUGAUAUCCAUAUUUCUCCUUCUGAUGAAUAUUAGGACAAUACUUUUAUUUCAAAUGGUUGUCUUUUUUGUCAUGUUUCAUCUCUUCUUCAUUUUAUAUGUUUCCGUCCAUGUGAUCAGCUUAGGUAUAUAUAUACAAUGAAAAUUUAAGAAUCAAUAGUUUCUGUUGUUUAAAAAAAAGUUUUGUGAGAUGACUGGAAUCUUAACAUUUAAAAAUUGCAAGUUAUUAGUUUUUACGGUAACCGCUCAACGAUCGUGCGUCCGAUGAAGCUAAUAAAAUCGGACGCUACGUGGCCGCACGACAUCCACAUCUACUCAUUAGAUAUUUUCCCAACGUCUCACCGUUCAUUCUUCUCAUCACAUCAUAUCUAUGCUCUCUCUCACCUAUUCCAACACAGCAGAGACGGAGACUAUGGUGCUGCCGGCCCACUGCACAGCUCCUCCCUAGCUAUCUCCAAUCCGCUUCCCGCUACUCCGGGCCACCCCCUCCUCCCUCUGGUGAUGCUAGUUCGCUCCUCAUCAUCUGGCUAGUCGCCGUUAUCAAUCCCCACGAGGUGUGUGGCACCAGGCGAGGUGCUACGAUCCCAUCCAGACGGGCGACAUAUGUUGACUCUUGCAACCACUCCUCGAUGGCCCCAUGCUCUUGCAAGGCAGCCGGUGGGGGGAAGUCGCUGACGACCUCGUUCCCCUUCCUGCUUGCCUCUAGCUAUCUGGGAUUUGUGAUGUUUUGAUAUUCGUUUUCGUUCGGAUUUGCAAAGGUGGAUUUGAUAUGUUGUAUGGGGAUUGUGAUGAUAGUAGAAGUACAUUUUCUUAGCUUUUUUCGAUUUUGAACAGAUUAUUUGGGAUGUUGAGAUUGUAUUAUGUGCGUGUUGCAAUAGGAGUUUUGACUUGUUGCAUCAUGACUUUUCGAUAGCUGUGGCUAAUGUUGUGGUUUAUAUAUAGGAGCAAAACUCGAUUUGUAUGAUCUGAAGUCAUCUCAUGCUAUUUUUUUUGGUGCGAUAGUUCAAAGAGUGAAGAUCAUUCACAAAAUCAGAUGCAGGUGAACUAUUUUUGUGUGUAUAAUUUUGAUGUUUCAAAUGUUUAAUUCUAAUGUUGCAUAUGUCACUUUUUGAUGUUUCAAACAUUGUUUAUGCUCUCAGUGGAUGUUGUGUGAAACAUGUUGUUAUGUUGCGGUGGGAAGUUUUCCAUCUCAGAAUUGCAUAACACAGUCAUUUUUAUACAUGGUUAUUAUGUUGCACACAGUAAUUUUUUAUGUCGCAGUUGUUGCCUUAAAAUGUUUUGACGGAGUGUCUGAUGGGAAAUUUUCCAUCGGACAUCUGCUAGUAGCUUCGUAGUUUGUAAUAGAUUCGAUGUGCACCUGUAUGUAAGUGUAUCUAUGUAGCAAAACAAGGAAAUCAAGUUUUUUUUUAUCAAUGGAAGAUAAAGUCUCUACCUGUUGAGGGGUCCUGUAUGUAAGUGUAUCUAUGUAGCAAAAUAAGGAAAUCAAGUUUUUUUUAUCAAUGGAAGAUAAAGUCUCUACCUGUUGAGGGGUAUAUGUGCAACGAAUUGACUUCUAAUAGAGUAUGGCAACUUUCCUGUUUUACAGGGGUUAUUAUCUCUGCGUUGAAGUUUUUCUCAAACACGCAGGAGAGUUGCGUAUCUUUGAUUAAGAGAGAAUAAAGGUCCAAAUUAUAGGACAUCACCCCACCUUGAACCAGGAUGAGGGAUGUAAACCAUUGGCACUACUCUUACGUAAAAAAAAAAGACCUGACCGGACUAAACCCCUGUUUUAAACUCCAGAUCACCACCCUUUCUAGGUGCAGAGCAGUGAGCCCCUUGGCUCCAGCUACCUGCCACAAAUGUGCUUCAUCUAUGAAGGCCUGAAGAGCUCCAUGUAGAUUUGGAGCAGAUGCAUCAAAGACACAAGCAUUGUGAUGUUUCCAGAGGAUCCAUGAUCCCAAAGCAUCUCUGCGUUGAAGUUACCCAAAUGAUCGGGCUCAGUUUAACUGAAUCUGGCCCAAACAAAUGUAUGAGGCCGAAGCGGCAACAAAUUUUGGUCGAGAUCAAAUUGAUCACUCCUUUCCCAGAAAAUACUACUCCCUCUGUUCUAAAUUGUAUGCCGUUUUAAUUUUUCAGAUAGAUAUAUUUUAUUAUGCAUUUAGAUAUAAUAUAUAUAUAGAUGUGUAGAAAAAAUGUAUCUACAAAAGUCAAAACAACCUACAAAUACAAUUUGAAUGAAGGACAUCUACACCGAAGAUCUGUUUUAGACAAUGCUAGCCAAAACAUUGCUCUUAGUUCACGUGAAUAUGCGAUAUAAUAUGAAGUUGGAACAUUGGCAUACAUUACAUAGUAUUAUUUUACCAUUUAUUCACGCUCUUAUGCGAAUGUUUCCAACUUUUUUCUGCGUGAAAUGACGUCCUUGCCGUAUCACCAACUACAAUGGCGAACACAUCACCGAACAGUGAGAGGACAGUACUAAAACGGAUUGAGAGGACAGUACUAGUCAUUUGAUCAUAGGCAGCAACAGCAACAAUAUUCGUAUUUAAAGUUUAAAGCCUGCUUACAUGGAACAAGAUUAUUCAUCGCAAUGGAAGUGUCAAGUUUACACGGCUGUCUUAAACACACCAACAAGCUGAGGUAAUUACACGUACAUAACAGCUUAGCUACCACGGUAAGUGGUGAAGGAGAAAGGGGAAUGCAAGAGAGGAACAUGGAAGUGCUCUGCCGUCUGGUUCUCUUUGAUCUCAAAUAUGAUGCUGACAUAAGGGAAGAACCCUGCAGGCGCAUACUUGCCAGUGUUGAAGCUUAUGCGGUAGAAACCAGGAGCGGCAUUGUCAACAAUGUCCAUCAGCUGACCGCUGCGGCCAUCAUUGUUUGUAACUGAAGUGCCAAGAGUUGCCCAUCCACUGAAAUCUUUGUUGCUGAACGACGGAGGAGCUGAAACAUCCUUCCACAUCUCCAGAUGAACUUCGAUUCCAGAAGCAGGGGAUCCACAGGCAACAUCCAGCACAUGGGUUGUAAUGGGGGGCCGACUUCGGUUGGAGCUACCUGUAAUUUCAGGAGCUUUAUUGGCACAAGGCUGGGGGAGAGCUCCAAGAUGUGCUCCAAUAAUCCGUAUGCGAUCUUUUGAAAAUUUAGUUGAUGAGAAGCAGAAUAAACCAAAUUGUAUAUGUAUGCAAAAUAAUUAAACCCAAGAGGAAAAAUGUUUUUCUAUGCUAGCAAAGCGCAUGAAGCAAUGAGAAUGAUAAUGAAAGUACGGAUUCUGAUUAUGGUAGUAUGACUGUAAACUAGAUGAAAUCAAUGCUCCCAAACAGCACACCCAUUCAGUAACACCAGCUCAUUUGUUUAUAUAUUGCUGUGAACUAUUUUGUUCUUGUUUCAAAAAUGUUUCUUGCAAGAUAUGUUAAGUCUUUGUAGAUGCAUUAUUGUUAGUAUUCUAUUUCUAUUAUUGAGAGAAAAUUCAUUAGACUAUUUAAAUUAACAAAGUGGGUAACAAUAAGAAGAUCUUAGCACUAACUCCAUGGACAUAUUCAUUUUCAGCACUAUGCAGUAUUUCGUAAACUGUGAUUGUUAAUCAAAAUAGAUCACAAAUGGUCAAUGCCCUAGCAUUUGGAGGGGGAGAACAAAUGCCAAGUUCAGCUGCUCAAGCACGGGGUACAUGAUAUUGAUAUGAAUGAAAUAACAGAUCUUCCGGAUAAGGAAGAAUCAAACAGAUUCAACGGUGUUUCUAGUAUACCACUGUAUGCAAGGUGUGGGCCUGUGAGCAUAAGAUGGCUUGCAUACAGAAUUACAGAUAUGUGAUAGAUACAACAAUACUGCACAAACAAAUAAUGUGAAAAGGCAGACUUUCUGUAGAACCUAGAAACAGAUAGAAUGGAAUUGAUACCUGCUGCUUUAUCUGAUUGGAUGUUGGGGGCUUUAGUAGUAGUAGAGGGAACAGUCGGCUCUGAUGAGAAAAGCUUUGCAAGACGCAGUUCAGUUAUCUUAAGUUCUUCCUGUGCUGCAGCCUCAAGUUCAACAAUUGGCCUAUUCACAUAACGUCUCUGAAAUAGCAGCAGGACAAUAUGAAGGUGAUUACAAUGAAAGAAAUAAAAAACUGCAUACAUUCUUUAAGUUAAUCCUUCAGCGAUGGACCAUGAUAUUACCAACACAGUGAAGCAUACCAAAGCAAUCAUUAAACAUAAAAAACCUGUCAGAGUCAAAAGCAAUAUCGUUCUAGCUUUUAGUUUGGAUAAGAAGAUUUCAGAUUCAUCGAGUCUUUUAUUUUCAAAGAUUACAGAUAUGUGCAGAAAUGGUCCUGAUUAUACUUUGGGUUUCAACUUGGUAUUUCCAGAGGACUUAUCAAAAAUCGAAACACUGAAUCUGGAGGACCAUACCAGAAAUUUGUAGCACAAAUAUCUACUGUGGAAAACAAACACUGGAAUCUGAAAGAUUGAGGUGAUGUGUGCAGACCUUAAGCUCAGCCAAGACUUCAGGUGCAGUCCUCCCAGACGCGCAAAUCAUGAACACGAAGCCGAAUUUCUCCCUGUACUUGGCAUUCCACUCUGCCAGCUCCUGCAGCAGGUGGAGAAAGCAAAUUAAGUCCAGAGAUCAUAUACGAUAGUACAAGGAAACCAAAGAGCUGAUGUAAAAGGCACCUGGGAAGUCGAAUCUGUGGCUGUGGAGAUAGCUGCCGAUUGUUCUUCCUUGCUCCACCUAAACCAAAAAGCUAACAGAGAUUACCAACACAGAGACUGGUGCCAUUUUGUUUGUCCUUAGUCAUGUCGAGUGAAAGAAUCCAUCAGUUCAAUUUCCGCGUUUUAAUGCUUUGGAUUCAACAUAACGCGCAAGCAUGUCAUGUACUUGUUUUCAUGCCUUAUAUAGGAGUAAUUAUUAGUACGCCGGUUAAAAGAUACACACAGCCACAGUUACUUGAGCUUCGAACGAUCAACAACAGAAAGACGAGAACUGAAAGUAAACAGUGGGAUUGCGUGGACAGGAGGGGGAGGAGGGAUGCACUCCACCGACUUGGAGACGGAGGGGGAGGUGGUUCCGAUUGCCGGGUGCGCCGCGAAGGCCUCGAGCCAUCCGUUGACAUCGACCUUGAUCCGAUGGAGCGAUGAGCCGCGCGCGCACAGAGGCAGCGAAGCAUCAUCAGUACACGGAGAGAAGAUGGCCUGGUGGGAAGGAUUUCAAGUAGGAAGGGGGUGGAGGCCAAGGCGAAGGCGAGUAGGCGACCCACCUCGUUGAGCCAGAUGCGGCGGGCGGCGAGGAGGGCGUCGGCGAGGGAGGUGAAGGGGGAGGCGGCCGCCAUCGCGGCGGCGAAGCGGCGGCUGCCGUUGACGCGCAGCACGUCCUCCACGGUGAGAGGCGUCGGCGUCGCCAUCUCGCCGGCGGCCAAUUCGACAGCGCGCGUGGGCGUGAGGGGAUGCGGUGGAGGUGGUUCUGGUCAGUCGGGCCUCGUGACUGAUCCCGCGAGGUGGCUUUGCUUGCUCUCCUUUCCGUUCGUUUAAGGGAAGCUAAUCCGAUGAGAUCACACGCACUACGACUGUUGAGAGAGCACGUUGAGCUCGAAAAUUUCUGAGUUAGUGCGAAGACGCGCGGAUCUGGCAGAAAAACGUCAGUGGAAAACGAAUCUAAUCAAAUUUCCGUAUUUUCGUCCCGUUUAACCAACGAGUAAAUGAUAUGAUUUUACUCUUCAUUUUUAAAGCGCUGAUCAAACAAAUCUCAUCUCAGGUUUACUCAGGUCGUCAUAUACCACUUGACGUAGGGGCGGGUUAGUGAUGACAUGCUAUUGGCAUAUCCGCAUAUGAACUGAAAAUGUAAAACGUGAAGAUAAUGCGAAGCACCUGCAUGAGAUAUGCAGGGAAAAUGGCGAAGAAAUACACGCACUGUAACGCAGUACUUGACAUUAACGAACGAUCAGCCACAGCACAAAUGUCACAAACUGUCAACGCGGCACCAACAUUAGACGAUUUAAGUAUUCGACCCUAGUAAUAACACCAACAAGGUAGUAGCAAACAGCAGAAGAGAAACUUAUGAUCCACAGAACAAGCCCUACUCAGAUGUCCGGAACAUGGCCCCACAUUAAGCCACUACUACGACACGAGAUUCUUCAUUUUGUCACAAUGAUUGAGGGGAUUAAGCCCUCUCGCCA